GCAAACUUGGUCAUUUAGAGGAAGUAAAAGUCGUAACAAGGUUUCCGUAGGUGAACCUGCGGAAGGAUCAUUAAUGAAUCCAGCCUGGACAUUGAGCUGGCUUGCAGUUUUGCACGCAUGUGCUCGUGUCUAUGUGCUGUCAUUAUACCUUUCACACCUGUGCACUUUCGGAGAGAGGAUCCCUUUCUCCGGACCAUUUUACAAACGCUUAUGAAUUCAGAAUAUUCGCAAGUCGAAAGACUGCAAAAUAACUAUACAACUUUUAACAACGGAUCUCUUGGCUCUCGCAUCGAUGAAGAACGCAGC
rnacentral:misc_RNA from 1 species